rnacentral:rRNA from 1 species
UACGUAGGGUGCGAGCGUUGUCCGGAAUUAUUGGGCGUAAAGAGCUCGUAGGCGGUCUGUCGCGUCGGCUGUGAAAACUCGGGGCUUAACCCCGAGCCUGCAGUGGAUACGGGCAGACUAGAGGUAGGUAGGGGAGAAUGGAAUUCCCGGUGUAGCGGUGAAAUGCGCAGAUAUCGGGAGGAACACCGGUGGCGAAGGCGGUUCUCUGGGCCUUACCUGACGCUGAGGAGCGAAAGCGUGGGGAGCGAACAGG